AGGGGAGGCGGGAAGAAAUACACGUGGGGAACCUCCUUAGAGGGGGAUACAUCGGGAACGGGAGCUAUCCGGAUACAUUUGGAACCGAUGGUUAUAAUUGAAAGAUGGUCUGCUAUACUUAUGAUGGACCCGCGCCGCUUUGCUGUUGGGGGGUAACGGCCUUCCAAGGCGACGAUCGUAGCCGACCUGAGAGGGUGAUCGGCCACAUUGGAACUGAGACACGGCCCAGACUCCUACGGGAGGCAGCAGUAGGGAAUCUUCCGCAAUGGGCGAAAGCCUGACGGAGCAACGCCGCGUGAGUGAUGAAGGGCUUUCGGCUCGUAAAACUCUGUUAUUAGGGAAGAACAAACUGUGUAAGUAACUGCUGCACGUCUUGACGGUACCUAAUCAGAAAGCCACGGCUAACUACGUGCCAGCAGCCGCGGUAAUACGUAGGUGGCAAGCGUUAUCCGGAAUUAUUGGGCGUAAAGGGAGCGCAGGCGGUUUCUUAAGUCUGAUGUGAAAGCCCACGGCUCAACCGUGGAGGGUCAUUGGAAACUGGGAAACUUGAGUGCAGAAGAGGAAAGUGGAAUUCCAUGUGUAGCGGUGAAAUGCGCAGAUAUAUGGAAGGAACACCAGUGGCGAAAGGCGACAUUUCUGGUCUGUUACUGACGCUGAUGCUCGAAAGCGUGGGGAGUCAAACAGGAUUAGAUACCCUGGGUAGUCCACGCCCGUAAACGAUGAGUGCUAAGUGUUAGGAGGGGUUUUCCGCCCCUUCAGUGCCUGCAAGCUUAACGGCAAUUAAGCAACCUCCCCGCCCUU
rnacentral:rRNA from 1 species